GAUGAACGCUAGCGGCAGGCUUAAUACAUGCAAGUCGAGGGACAGCACAGGUAGCAAUACUGGGUGGUAACCGGCAAACGGGUGCGGAACACGUACACAACCUUCCUUUAAGUGGGGGAUAGCCCAGAGAAAUUUGGAUUAGCACCCCGUAAUAUAGUUGAAUGGCAUCAUUUUAUUAUUAUAGCUACGGCGCUUAAUGAUGGGUGUGCGGCUAAUUAGAUAGUUGGCGGGGUAACGGCCCACCAAGUCUCCGAUCAGUAGCUGAUGUGAGAGAAUGAUCAGCCACACGGGCACUGGGACACGGGACCGACUCCUACGGGAGGCAGCAGUAAGGAAUAUUGGUCAAUGAACGCAAGUCUGAACCAGCCAUGCCGCGUGAAGGAUUAUGGUCCUCUGGAUUGUAAACUUCUUUUAUUUGGGACGAAAAAGGGCCUUUCUAGGUCAACUGACGGUACCAGAUGAAUAAGCACCGGCUAACUCCGUGCCAGCCGCCGCGGUAAGAC
rnacentral:rRNA from 1 species